UCUAUCUUCAUUCUCCCACUUACGGGAAGGUUCGAGACACAGCACCAUUCACACACACACACACACGUUGAAACACACACACACAAAGCCCUCCUUCGGUGACGCUGCAUCUAUGACGACCGUGUGCAGAUUUCCUCUCGUCUCUCUUCCUCUCCCUCUCAAUCCCUCUCUGCUGCAGGCGCACACAUAGACAAGUCUCUCUCUCUGCGUCGCGACUGUCCUAAAAAUUUCGCCGUCGUCAUCACCGAAUUCUAUCGAACCUAUAGGCUAGUCUACCUUCCAUUUGUGUCGCUAAGGUUGGUGUUUUCGCCUCAACAUUUCGUGUGUCGUCUUUAGUAGCUAAUCUUAUUACCUUUUGGUAUAGUCACUGAUAUUAUUAUCUUUUGGUAUAGAUCUCGUUUGUAAAAGUAUGACAUAAUUAUAACUAACUUAUGUAUAAUAUAUUCAGCUACUUUGUAAAUUAUUUCAGAA